GGCUCAAGCGAUCCACCUGCUUUGGCCUCCCAAAACAGUGGGAUUGCAGGCGUGAGCCACCAUGCCUGGCUGAAAUUCACCUUUUAAGAUGUACAAUUCAGUGGUUUUUAGUAUAUUCACACACAAAAUUGCACAACUAUCACUAACAUCUAAUUUUAGAUCAUUUUGUAACUUCACCAAGAAACCCCAGGUCUGUCAGCAGUCAGUUCCAUUCCCCCUUCAUCCCAGCCUCUGGCAACCACUAAUCUGCUUUCUGUCACUAUUGAUUUGGCCAGACACUAUUCUUCUGUGCUUCUCAUGCAUCUCCUGUAAUACCAGUGCUACAAUUCUCAUUUUAUGUGGAAAAUUGAGGCACUGAGAGGUUAAGUAAAUUGCCCACGGUCACACAGUAAUUUGAUUUACAACAGUAAUAACACAUUAGAUGAGAACACAGUAGGACACAAUUUUGAAUUCCAUUUUUAUGUACCUGAAAUGAAUACACCCCUCCCCCAAGGUAUUUUCCCUAUUGUUAGCCUUUGUACCCUAGGUACAAAUAUAGGUAUUUUCCCUAUUGUGUUAUGUACCUGAAAUGAAUACACCCUUCCCCCAAGGUAUUUUCCCUAUUGUUAGCCUUUGUACCCUAGAACUGACUGGAUGUAGAUAACAUUUGUUUUCAGAGUAAUGGAACACUGUAUCAGCAGCAUCUGAGAACAUAAGAACAGUUGGACAUUGGAAAGAGGUUUGUUGCCCUCAUCCCUCCUUGAACCUCUUUUCUCUCCCGCUUCCACCACCACCACACAUAUAUACCCCUUUUUCUCAGUCUUAAGCAUCAAACAAUUUCUGCCUCUUUCUUUUUAAUUCUCCCAGAGGGAUGGUUAAUGCAUCACAAUUUAACUUGUCUAUUCAGGUAUUAAUAGUCAAGGGAUGCAUCUGUUUGCUUAUAGUACCAGUUAUAUUCCUAGGACCUUAGAGAGCAGUAGUGUGAGAAUAGAAUGCCUUUCUAUUUGGGUUAAACUAUGUGGGAGGAAAAAGUAACAGAGUAAAGGCUUUGCCUUAAUGAAGUCAAGUGUUCUGCCUGGUGGGAAGUGGCCACACGCUGCACUGCGCUGCUCUUGUUUACUCUGUUCUUUCAGAGCCUUUGUACUUUGCCAUCACUGCUAGUAAUUUCUUGGUCCUUUUCAAUACUCCAUUUUAAUCUUGAUUUUUUUCUAUAAAUAAUAAAUCUGUGAAAAAUCUGUAAAAAGAUUUGUGACUAUUAAAUGUGCAACUAAAAACACUGGAAAAA
rnacentral:lncRNA from 10 species